CCUCGGUUGGCACCACGAUUGACGAAAAAAGCAAUAUUGUUACCUGGAUUUUCAAAAAUGAAUGUAAGCCUGGCCACCCGUACGUUGAGUAGAACCGUCUCAAAAGCUCUCCAAGCGUAUGUUGAAAUGGGUAGCAUGAGCAGCGAAGUAAUUCCCACGAUAGAGUUCAUAGACCUGAUGGACAGCUUGUUCGAUACUUUUAACUCUCGUUUUGAACAUGAUAAGCUAAAGCCUCUACGAUCUGCUAUAUGCGAUAAUAGCGAACAUUGGGAAUUUCUCGUUAAAACAAAAAAUAUUCUUGAGAAAGCCAAGUUUAUCCCGAAAUCGUGCUUCGAUACCUCAACGGCAUUGGAUGAAGCUCAAAAUCUGCUCACAGCUAAACAGAGAUUCCCUCCAUUUAUGAAAGG